rnacentral:piRNA from 1 species
UGUUGCAAAAAAAGGUAAAUU